CCUACGGGUGGCAGCAGUGAGGAAUAUUGGUCAAUGGACGAGAGUCUGAACCAGCCAAGUAGCGUGAAGGAUGACUGCCCUAUGGGUUGUAAACUUCUUUUAUAUGGGAAUAAAAUGUUCCACGUGUGGGCUUUUGUAUGUACCAUAUGAAUAAGGAUCGGCUAACUCCGUGCCAGCAGCCGCGGUAAUACGGAGGAUCCGAGCGUUAUCCGGAUUUAUUGGGUUUAAAGGGAGCGUAGAUGGGUUGUUAAGUCAGUUGUGAAAGUUUGCGGCUCAACCGUAAAAUUGCAAUUGAUACUGGCAGUCUUGAGUACAGUUGAGGUAGGCGGAAUUCGUGGUGUAGCGGUGAAAUGCUUAGAUAUCACGAAGAACUCCGAUUGCGAAGGCAGCUUACUAAACUGCCACUGACAUUGAUGCUCGAAAGUGUGGGUAUCAAACAGGAUUAGAUACCCCUGUAGUC
rnacentral:rRNA from 1 species